rnacentral:rRNA from 1 species
AUAGAUUUUAUUUAUUAAUUUUAUUUAUUUAUUUAAUUUAUUUAAUAAAAAUAAUUUUAAAAUUUUAAGUUUAAGUAUUUUAUAAAGAAAAAAUAAUUUUAAUUAUAGUUUAUUUGUAUUGUGAAAGAAAAUUGAAAUAAUUUGAAAAAUUUUUAUUUUAAAAGAAAAUUUAAUUUAUUGUACCUUGUGUAUCAGGGUUUAUUAAAUAAAAAAUUAUUAUAUUAAUUUUUCUCGAAUUUUAAAGAUUUAAUUAUAUAUAAAAGUUACUGUGGAAUAAUUAUUUUUAAUAUAUAAUUAGAAAUGAAAUGUUAAUCGUUUUAAAAUAUAUCUAGUUUUUUAAGAAAUAAAUUUAAUUUAGAUUUAUAAAUUUAAAUUAUUUAAUUAUUUUAAAUAAUUUAUUUUAUAAAAUUAAUAUUUUAAGGGAUUAGCUUUAAAAUAAAUUUUUAAAUUUUAAAUUAAUUAUUUAAUAAAUAUAAGCUUAAAAAUAGCUAUUAUUAAUAAAUUUGUUAUAAUUUAUUUUAAAAAUUUAAUUAUUUAAUAUAAAAUUAAAUUAUUUAUUAAAAUAUAAAUUUUAAUAAUAAAAAUUUAUAAAUUAUGAUAAAAUUAGUAUAUAAAAUUUUUAUAAAUAAUUAUUUAUGAAAGGUUUAAAUAAGGAAUUCGGCAAAAUAUAUAUUCACCUGUUUAUCAAAAACAUGUCUUUUUGAAUUAAAUUUAAAGUCUAACCUGCCCACUGAUAUAAAUUAAAGGGCCGCAGUAUCUUGACUGUGCGAAGGUAGCAUAAUCACUAGUCUUUUAAUUGGAGGCUUGUAUGAAUGGUUGAAUGAGAUAUAUACUGUCUUUUUUAAAAUUAUAUAGAAUUUUAUUUUUUAGUUAAAAAGCUAAAAUAAAAUUAAAGGACGAGAAGACCCUAUAGAUCUUUAUUUUUGUUAUUUAUAAAUUAAAAAGAAUUUUAAAAUUUAUAAUUUAAUAAAAAAUUUUAUUGGGGUGAUAUUAAAAUUUAAAAAACUUUUAAGAUUUAUUAACAUUAAUAUAUGAAUAAAUGAUCCAGUUUUAUUGAUUAAAAAUUUAAGUUACCUUAGGGAUAACAGCGUAAUUUUUUUUUAGAGUUCAUAUCGACAAAAAAGAUUGCGACCUCGAUGUUGGAUUAAGAGUUAUUUUUAGGUGUAGAAGUUUAAAGUUUAGGUCUGUUCGACCUUUGAAUUCUUACAUGAUCUGAGUUCAAACCGGCGUAAGCCAGGUUGGUUUCUAUCCUUAAUUAAUUAUUAUAUUAUAGUACGAAAGGACCUAAUAUAAAAAAUAUAGAUUUUAAUAAUAUGAUUAAUAUUAAUAUUAGAUA